rnacentral:rRNA from 1 species
AUUGAACGCUGGCGGCAGGCCUAACACAUGCAAGUCGAGCGGCUCGGGGGCCGGGUGCGUGAUGCCUAUGUAUCUGCCUGGUCGUGGGGGAUAACGUCCGGAACCGGGCGCUAAUACCGCAUCCUAUCAGAUGAGCCUAGAUGGGAUUAGCUAGUUGGUGGGGUAAAGGCCUACCAAGGCGACGAUCCGUAACUGGUCUGAGAGGAUGAUCAGCCACACUGGAACUGAGACACGGCCCAGACUCCUACGGGAGGCAGCAGUGGGGAAUAUUGGACAAUGGGCGAAAGCCUGAUCCAGCCAUGCCGCGUGUGUGAAGAAGGCCUUAGGAUUGUAAAGUACUUUAAGCUGGGAGGCGUUACCAGCAGAAGAAGCACCGGCUAACUCCGUGCCAGCAGCCGCGGUAAUAC